ACGGGGUGCAGCAGGCGCGAAAACUCCGCAAUGCGCGAAAGCGUGACGGGGUUACCCCGAGUGCCGUCCGUUGAGGAUGGCUUUUCUCUAGUGUAAGAUGCUGGGGGAAUAAAGGGGGGGCAAGUCUGGUGUCAGCCGCCGCGGUAAUACCAGCCCCCUGAGUGAUAGGGACGAUUAUUUAGCCUAAAGCGUCCGUAGCCGGUUUAGUAAGUCUUUCGUUAAAUCUGACGACUCAAUCGCCAGGCCGCGGAAGAUACUACUAGACUAGAGGGCGGGAGAGGUUGACGGUAGUCCUGGAGUAGGGGUGAAAUCCUAUAAUCCCGGGAGGACCACCAGUGGCGAAGGCGGUCAACUAGAACGCGCCUGACGGUGAUGGACGAAAGCUGGGGGAGCGAACCGGAUUAGAUACCCGGGUAGUCCCAGCUGUAAACGAUGCAGACUAGGUGUUUGGACGGCCACGUGCCGUUCUAGUGCCGCAGGGAAGCUGUUAAGCCUGCCGCCUGGGGAGUACGGCCGCAAGGCUGAAACUUAAAGGAAUUGGCGGGGGAGCAC
rnacentral:rRNA from 1 species